UACGAAGGGGGCUAGCGUUGCUCGGAAUCACUGGGCGUAAAGCGCACGUAGGCGGAUUGCUAAGUCAGGGGUGAAAUCCUGGAGCUCAACUCCAGAACUGCCUUUGAUACUGGCGACCUUGAGUCCGGGAGAGGUGAGUGGAACUGCGAGUGUAGAGGUGAAAUUCGUAGAUAUUCGCAAGAACACCCGUAGCGAAGGCGGCACUCUGGGCCGAUACUGACACUGAGGAGCGAAAGCGUGGGGAGCGAACAGG
rnacentral:rRNA from 1 species